CUUUAUGGCCAUACCACCCUGAAUGCUCCUGAUCUCAUCUGAUCUCAGAAGCUAAGCAGGGUCGGGCCUGGUUAGUACUUGGAUGCAUAUGAGCCCUUUGUCAGUUAUACUUG
rfam:Pan troglodytes isolate Yerkes chimp pedigree #C0471 (Clint) chromosome 14, whole genome shotgun sequence.